AGAAAAUUAAUCCUGCGGAUGUAUUUGACAUUCGAAGGCGAUUGUCGGAUGAUAAGCAGAAACGAAAAUACUUACCUAAAAUAUAUGAUCCUUUCGUGAAUGGAGGCUUUCGUGCAGAAAUCCAAAAAAAUGUUUCACUUCGACCCUUUAUUACAAAUGAAACUGACACAACAAACUCCAUUUUGGUAAAUAAGAUUCAUGGUCUCCUUAUUUCUAAUAAUAGUAAUUCUCUAGAAUUUGACCAGAAAAUAGAUCAAUUUGAUAGAAAAUUAUUAUUAACUAAAAUUGGGUUUUUUGUUAAGUUAAUCAGUAAAUUUUCGGAAAAAUCAGUAUCAAGUUUGGAUUUUGACGCAAUUCACUUAUUUCCAGAACAUGAACAAGGAAAAAUGUAUUCCGAAGAAAAAAAAACUUUUUUUUCGACGCAAUUCGGACUACUCAUACCAACGAUACAAUUUUCACUACAAGUUUAUCGAGUGAAAUAAACGAAAUAAGUAAAGAAGUUCCUCGAUGGGAAUACCAAUUGAUCGACGACAUCGAGGUAGGGCUGAAUCNGAAGAAAAUUAAUCCUGCGGAUGUAUUUGACAUUCGAAGGCGAUUGUCGGAUGAUAAGCAGAAACGAAAAUACUUACCUAAAAUAUAUGAUCCUUUCGUGAAUGGAGGCUUUCGUGCAGAAAUCCAAGACAACGUUUCACUUCGACCCUUUAUUACAAAUGAAACUGACACAACAAACUCCAUUUUGGUAAAUAAGAUUCAUGGUCUCCUUAUUUCUAAUAAUAGUAAUUCUCCAGAAUUUGACCAGAAAAUAGAUCAAUAUGAUAGAAAAUUAUUAUUAACUAAAAUUGGGUUUUUUGUUAAGUUAAUCAGUAAAUUUUCGGAAAAAUCAGUAUCAAGUUUGGAUUUUGACGCACUUCACUUAUUUCCAGAACAUGAACAAGGAAAAAUGUAUUCCGAAGAAAGAAAAAAAAACUUUUUUUCCGACGCAAUUCGGACUACUCAUACCAACGAUACAAUUUUCACUACAAGUUUAUCGAGUGAAAUAAACGAAAUAAGUAAAGAAGUUCCUCGAUGGGAAUACCAAUUGAUCGACGAC
rnacentral:lncRNA from 1 species